GGCCUCAUAGGUCAGUUGUUAGAGCACUGGUCUUGUAAACCAGGGGUCGGAGAGUUCGAUGCCUCCCUGGGGGCA
rnacentral:tRNA from 1 species